GACGAACGCUGGCGGCGUGCUUAACACAUGCAAGUCGAACGGAAAGGCCCUGCUUUUGUGGGGUGCUCGAGUGGCGAACGGGUGAGUAACACGUGAGUAACCUGCCCUUGACUUUGGGAUAACUUCAGGAAACUGGGGCUAAUACCGGAUAGGAGCUCCUGCUGCAUGGUGGGGGUUGGAAAGUUUCGGCGGUUGGGGAUGGACUCGCGGCUUAUCAGCUUGUUGGUGGGGUAGUGGCUUACCAAGGCUUUGACGGGUAGCCGGCCUGGGAGGGUGACCGGCCAAGGGGGGGAGGGGAGGGGGCCGGGAGCGUUAGGGGGGGGAGAGGGGGGGGAAGUUGAACAGGGGGGGAAAGCGUGGAGGGACACGGGCGGGGGGGGGAGGAGGGCCGGGGGGUGGGAACCCGGUUUCGCGUGAGAGGGAGCGGGGGGGAGGGAAAUGGGUAAGGAAGCAGCGGGAAACUAGGG
rnacentral:rRNA from 1 species